CAAUAGCGUAUAUUAAAGUUGUUGCGGUUAAGAAGCUCGUAGUUGGAUCUCGGCAGGCAGGGGGUGGUUCGCUCUUAGCGCUACUGCCCCAUUUGCCUGUGUGAUUGGCGGAGGUUUCGGGGUGCUCUUCGUUGAGUGACCCGGGGCGCCGUCAGGUUUACUUUGAAAAAAUUAGAGUGCUCAAAGCAGGCUUUUCACGCUUGAAUAUUCGUGCAUGGAAUAAUGGAAUAGGAACUCGUUUCUAUUUUGUUGGUUUUCGGAAAUCGAGUUAAUGAUUAAUAGGGACAAUUGGGGGCAUUAGUAUUCAGACGACAGAGGUGAAAUUCUUGGACCGUCUGAAGACUAACUACUGCGAAAGCAUUUGCCAAGAGUGUUUUCAUUAA
rnacentral:rRNA from 1 species